rnacentral:rRNA from 1 species
AAUGAACGCUGGCGGCAGGCCUAACACAUGCAAGUCGAACGGAUCCUUCGGGAUUAGUGGCGGACGGGUGAGUAACGCGUGGGAACAUACCCUUUGGUACGGAAUAGCCUCGGGAAACUGGGAGUAAUACCGUAUGUGGUCGAGAGACGAAAGAUUUAUCGCCAAAGGAUUGGCCCGCGUUGGAUUAGGUAGUUGGUGGGGUAAUGGCCCACCAAGCCGACGAUCCAUAGCUGGUUUGAGAGGAUGAUCAGCCACACUGGGACUGAGACACGGCCCAGACUCCUACUUGAGGCAGCAGUGGGGAAUCUUAGACAAUGGUGGAAUCCCUGAUCUAGCCAUGCCGCGUGAUCGAUGAAGGCCUUAGGGUUGUAAAGAUCUUUCAGGUGUGAAGAUAAUGGCUUUACCACCAGAAGAAGCCCCGGCUAACUCCGUGCCAGCCGCCGCCGUAACAC